UAUGGUUUUUCCUGGACGGCCUUGGCUAUCUAUGAAGGGUAAAUUCAGAAAUAUAAUCGAAUACACUUUUGAUACAUUGAUAUUUAUUACGUUGUAUAUGUUAAAUAUUUGUAAAAUGUGCAUACUGCUGGAAAUUAUUUGAGAUAAAAAUUAAAAACACUGUCUAUCACAUUUGACGGGCUGCUAGGAAAAUUAUAUAUGUGUUUUAGUUAUAUUUAGUCCUUGAGUAUAGGUAGCACUCAUUAAACCCUGUGUCUUGACAAGCUGUCUGGAUUAUAAGAAUUAUAAAUGUAUUGUUUGGAUUGUUUUAGGUGUAAUACCACCAAAUCAUGGUACGCCACAUCCGGUUGCAUACGAAAGUAGGCCUAAAAAAAUAUUCCCUUGAAUUUGACAGUUGUAGAAAAUUAACCCUGCAUUUCAAUGCACUUAAAUUUUUCUGAGUCGUAAAUAUGUAUGUUGGAUGUCUGAAUGCAUCGAUCAUUCUUUUUUUAUUUGAUGGUCUUAUAAAAUAUUUUGGAACGAUAUGGUUACAUAGUUACCAGAUCAAGUAACAAGUAAAUAACAGUGUAAAAAUUGGGUUGUUUACUUCCAGUGAUGAUUAUUUUCUUAUAUGCAAUGAAAUGUAGUGUGAAAUUUUCACUGUGUCACUGGAAAGGAUUAAACUUUACACAUGCAAAGUAUUUCUUUGGUUGAAAUAAAGGUAAAUACUGUACAAUUUUUUUAAAAGUGCCAAUUUAACAAAGACUAAUAGGGAAAAAUCAAUGGUGGUAUUACACCUAUUUAGGGAAACCAUAUGUGCACUCGUGACCUUAUUGUACUUUCAUUUUUAAAAGUUAUAAAUAAACCAGUUCAUACAUUGUAAACAUGGACAAUUCGGAAUGGAUUUAGACACAGAAAGCACGUUUGAGUGUUUACCAUGUUCUGAAGAGCAUUCUGUUGAAAAAUCUUUUAUGUGAAUUGGUCUGCAGAUGACACUUCAGCAUAAAAACAAAAGAUAUAAAGUUUUGAUGAAAAAGGAAGGAAGGAGGAAAAAUGGACCAAAACAGACCAAAACAGACCUUCAAAUGAACUCUAAAAGGUGCAAUAAAAUUGUUUAUCAUCUUAAAGUUGUCUUUUGUAUUCUAUUUAAUUGUUUGAAUGCAUAGAUCAUGAGUUUAUGAUCAGA